UACGUAGGGGGCAAGCGUUGUCCGGAAUCAUUGGGCGUAAAGAGCGCGUAGGCGGCCCGAUAAGUCCGCUGUGAAAGUCAAGGGCUCAACCCUUGAAUGCCGGUGGAUACUGUCGGGCUAGAGUCCGGAAGAGGCGAGUGGAAUUCCUGGUGUAGCGGUGAAAUGCGCAGAUAUCAGGAGGAACACCAAUGGCGAAGGCAGCUCGCUGGGACGGUACUGACGCUGAGGCGCGAAAGCGUGGGAAUCAAACAGG
rnacentral:rRNA from 1 species